rnacentral:rRNA from 1 species
UAAGGAAUAUUGGUCAAUGGACGCAAGUCUGAACCAGCCAUGCCGCGUGAAGGAUGAAGGUCCUCUGGAUUGUAAACUUCUUUUAUCUGGGACGAAAACGGGAUUUUUAUCUCAAUUGACGGUACCAGAGGAAUAAGCACCGGCUAACUCCGUGCCAGCAGCCGCGGUAAUACGGAGGGUGCGAGCGUUAUCCGGAUUUACUGGGUUUAAAGGGUGCGUAGGUGGGCUUAUAAGUCAGUGGUGAAAUCUCCGAGCUUAACUUGGAAACUGCCGUUGAUACUAUAGGUCUUGAAUUAUCUGGAGGUAAGCGGAAUAUGUCAUGUAGCGGUGAAAUGCUUAGAUGUGACAUAGAACACCAAUUGCGAAGGCAGCUUACUACAUAUAAAUUGACGCUGAGGCACGAAAGCGUGGGGAUCAAACA